AUUGAACGCUGGCGGCAGGCUUAACACAUGCAAGUCGAACGGUAACAUGAAGAAGCUUGCUUCUUUGAUGACGAGUGGCGGACGGGUGAGUAAUGCUUGGGAAUCUAGCUUAUGGAGGGGGAUAACUACGGGAAACUGUAGCUAAUACCGCGUAGAAUCGAGAGAUGAAAGUGUGGGACCUUCGGGCCACAUGCCAUAGGAUGAGCCCAAGUGGGAUUAGGUAGUUGGUGAGGUAAAGGCUCACCAAGCCGACGAUCUCUAGCUGGUCUGAGAGGAUGACCAGCCACACUGGGACUGAGACACGGCCCAGACUCCUACAGGAGGCAGCAGUGGGGAAUAUUGCGCAAUGGGGGCAACCCUGACGCAGCCAUGCCGCGUGAAUGAAGAAGGCCUUCGGGUUGUAAAGUUCUUUCGGUAGCGAGGAAGGCAUUUAGUUUAAUAGACUAAGUGAUUGACGUAACUACA
rnacentral:rRNA from 1 species